rnacentral:sRNA from 1 species
GCCAGGCAGGGUAGCCCAUGCCUGUAAUCUCAGCAACUCGGGAGGCUGAGGCAGGAGGAUUAUGAGUUCAAACCCAGCCUCAGCAACUUAGCUAGAUCCUAAGCAACUCAGUGAGAUCCUGUCUCUA